rnacentral:rRNA from 1 species
GGGUUGUGAGGUUAAGCGACUAAGCGUACACGGUGGAUGCCCUGGCAGUCAGAGGCGAUGAAGGACGUGCUAAUCUGCGAUAAGCGUCGGUAAGGUGAUAUGAACCGUUAUAACCGGCGAUUUCCGAAUGGGGAAACCCAGUGUGAUUCGUCACACUAUCAUUAACUGAAUCCAUAGGUUAAUGAGGCGAACCGGGGGAACUGAAACAUCUAAGUACCCCGAGGAAAAGAAAUCAACCGAGAUUCCCCCAGUAGCGGCGAGCGAACGGGGAGCAGCCCAGAGCCUGAAUCAGUGUGUGUGUUAGUGGAAGCGUCUGGAAAGGCGCGCGAUACAGGGUGACAGCCCCGUACACAAAAAUUCACAUGCUGUGAGCUCGAUGAGUAGGGCGGGACACGUGGUAUCCUGUCUGAAUAUGGGGGGACCAUCCUCCAAGGCUAAAUACUCCUGACUGACCGAUAGUGAACCAGUACCGUGAGGGAAAGGCGAAAAGAACCCCGGCGAGGGGAGUGAAAAAGAACCUGAAACCGUGUACGUACAAGCAGUGGGAGCACGCUUAGGCGUGUGACUGCGUACCUUUUGUAUAAUGGGUCAGCGACUUAUAUUCUGUAGCAAGGUUAACCGAAUAGGGGAGCCGAAGGGAAACCGAGUCUUAACUGGGCGUUAAGUUGCAGGGUAUAGACCCGAAACCCGGUGAUCUAGCCAUGGGCAGGUUGAAGGUUGGGUAACACUAACUGGAGGACCGAACCGACUAAUGUUGAAAAAUUAGCGGAUGACUUGUGGCUGGGGGUGAAAGGCCAAUCAAACCGGGAGAUAGCUGGUUCUCCCCGAAAGCUAUUUAGGUAGCGCCUCGUGAAUUCAUCUCCGGGGGUAGAGCACUGUUUCGGCAAGGGGGUCAUCCCGACUUACCAACCCGAUGCAAACUGCGAAUACCGGAGAAUGUUAUCACGGGAGACACACGGCGGGUGCUAACGUCCGUCGUGAAGAGGGAAACAACCCAGACCGCCAGCUAAGGUCCCAAAGUCAUGGUUAAGUGGGAAACGAUGUGGGAAGGCCCAGACAGCCAGGAUGUUGGCUUAGAAGCAGCCAUCAUUUAAAGAAAGCGUAAUAGCUCACUGGUCGAGUCGGCCUGCGCGGAAGAUGUAACGGGGCUAAACCAUGCACCGAAGCUGCGGCAGCGACGCUUAUGCGUUGUUGGGUAGGGGAGCGUUCUGUAAGCCUGUGAAGGUGUGCUGUGAGGCAUGCUGGAGGUAUCAGAAGUGCGAAUGCUGACAUAAGUAACGAUAAAGCGGGUGAAAAGCCCGCUCGCCGGAAGACCAAGGGUUCCUGUCCAACGUUAAUCGGGGCAGGGUGAGUCGACCCCUAAGGCGAGGCCGAAAGGCGUAGUCGAUGGGAAACAGGUUAAUAUUCCUGUACUUGGUGUUACUGCGAAGGGGGGACGGAGAAGGCUAUGUUGGCCGGGCGACGGUUGUCCCGGUUUAAGCGUGUAGGCUGGUUUUCCAGGCAAAUCCGGAAAAUCAAGGCUGAGGCGUGAUGACGAGGCACUACGGUGCUGAAGCAACAAAUGCCCUGCUUCCAGGAAAAGCCUCUAAGCAUCAGGUAACAUCAAAUCGUACCCCAAACCGACACAGGUGGUCAGGUAGAGAAUACCAAGGCGCUUGAGAGAACUCGGGUGAAGGAACUAGGCAAAAUGGUGCCGUAACUUCGGGAGAAGGCACGCUGAUAUGUAGGUGAAGUCCCUCGCGGAUGGAGCUGAAAUCAGUCGAAGAUACCAGCUGGCUGCAACUGUUUAUUAAAAACACAGCACUGUGCAAACACGAAAGUGGACGUAUACGGUGUGACGCCUGCCCGGUGCCGGAAGGUUAAUUGAUGGGGUCAGCGCAAGCGAAGCUCUUGAUCGAAGCCCCGGUAAACGGCGGCCGUAACUAUAACGGUCCUAAGGUAGCGAAAUUCCUUGUCGGGUAAGUUCCGACCUGCACGAAUGGCGUAAUGAUGGCCAGGCUGUCUCCACCCGAGACUCAGUGAAAUUGAACUCGCUGUGAAGAUGCAGUGUACCCGCGGCAAGACGGAAAGACCCCGUGAACCUUUACUAUAGCUUGACACUGAACAUUGAGCCUUGAUGUGUAGGAUAGGUGGGAGGCUUAGAAGUGUGGACGCCAGUCUGCAUGGAGCCGACCUUGAAAUACCACCCUUUAAUGUUUGAUGUUCUAACGUUGACCCGUAAUCCGGGUUGCGGACAGUGUCUGGUGGGUAGUUUGACUGGGGCGGUCUCCUCCUAAAGAGUAACGGAGGAGCACGAAGGUUGGCUAAUCCUGGUCGGACAUCAGGAGGUUAGUGCAAUGGCAUAAGCCAGCUUGACUGCGAGCGUGACGGCGCGAGCAGGUGCGAAAGCAGGUCAUAGUGAUCCGGUGGUUCUGAAUGGAAGGGCCAUCGCUCAACGGAUAAAAGGUACUCCGGGGAUAACAGGCUGAUACCGCCCAAGAGUUCAUAUCGACGGCGGUGUUUGGCACCUCGAUGUCGGCUCAUCACAUCCUGGGGCUGAAGUAGGUCCCAAGGGUAUGGCUGUUCGCCAUUUAAAGUGGUACGCGAGCUGGGUUUAGAACGUCGUGAGACAGUUCGGUCCCUAUCUGCCGUGGGCGCUGGAGAACUGAGGGGGGCUGCUCCUAGUACGAGAGGACCGGAGUGGACGCAUCACUGGUGUUCGGGUUGUCAUGCCAAUGGCACUGCCCGGUAGCUAAAUGCGGAAGAGAUAAGUGCUGAAAGCAUCUAAGCACGAAACUUGCCCCGAGAUGAGUUCUCCCUGACUCCUUGAGAGUCCUGAAGGAACGUUGAAGACGACGACGUUGAUAGGCCGGGUGUGUAAGCGCAGCGAUGCGUUGAGCUAACCGGUACUAAUGAACCGUGAGGCUUAACCUUACAACGCCGAAGCUGUU